rnacentral:rRNA from 1 species
CUUCGGAUCUAGUGGCGCACGGGUGCGUAACGCGUGGGAAUCUGCCCUUGGGUUCGGAAUAACUUCUGGAAACGGAAGCUAAUACCGGAUGAUGACGUAAGUCCAAAGAUUUAUCGCCCAAGGAUGAGCCCGCGUAGGAUUAGCUAGUUGGUGGGGUAAAGGCCCACCAAGGCGACGAUCCUUAGCUGGUCUGAGAGGAUGAUCAGCCACACUGGGACUGAGACACGGCCCAG